rnacentral:rRNA from 1 species
UACGUAGGGACCAAGCGUUGUUCGGAUUUACUGGGCGUAAAGGGCGCGUAGGCGGCAAUUCAAGUCAGCUGUGAAAUCUCCGGGCUUAACUCGGAACGGUCAGCUGAUACUGCUUUGCUAGAGUGCAGAAGGGGCAAUCGGAAUUCUUGGUGUAGCGGUGAAAUGCGUAGAUAUCAGGAGGAACACCUGUGGUGUAGACAGCUUACUGGACCACUUCUGACGCUGAGACACGAAAGCGUGGGUAGCAAACGGG